rnacentral:tRNA from 1 species
UAUCCCUGUUGUGGGUACCCUUGUUGUGGAUAUCCAUGCUGUGAAUAUCCCUGCUGAUAUCCUCC